rnacentral:rRNA from 1 species
AACGAACGCUGGCGGCAUGCCUAACACAUGCAAGUCGAACGAGACCUUCGGGUCUAGUGGCGCACGGGUGCGUAACGCGUGGGAAUCUGCCCUUGGGUCCGGAAUAACUCAGAGAAAUUUGAGCUAAUACCGGAUGAUGACGUAAGUCCAAAGAUUUAUCGCCCAGGGAUGAGCCCGCGUAGGAUUAGCUAGUUGGUGAGGUAAAGGCUCACCAAGGCGACGAUCCUUAGCGGUCUGAGAGGAUGAUCAGCCACACUGGGACUGAGACACGGCCCAGACUCCUACGGGAGGCAGCAGUGGGGAAUAUUGGACAAUGGGCGAAAGCCUGAUCCAGCAAUGCCGCGUGAGUGAUGAAGGCCUUAGGGUUGUAAAGCUCUUUUACCCGGGAUGAUAAUGACAGUACCGGGAGAAUAAGCCCCGGCUAACUCCGUGCCAGCAGCCGCAGU